rnacentral:rRNA from 1 species
GAUGAACGCUGGCGGCGUGCUUAACACAUGCAAGUCGAACGGAAAGGCCGAAGCUUGCUUCGGUACUCGAGUGACGAACGGGUGAGUAACACGUGGGUGAUCUGCCCUGUACUUCGGGAUAAGCUUGGGAAACUGGGUCUAAUACCGGAUAUGACAAUCUCUUGGAUGGGGUUGUGGAAAGCUUUUGCGGUAUGGGAUGAGCUCGCGGCCUAUCAGCUUGUUGGUGGGGUAAUGGCCUACCAAGGCGUCGACGGGUAGCCGGCCUGAGAGGGUGUACGGCCACAUUGGGACUGAGAUACGGCCCAGACUCCUACGGGAGGCAGCAGUGGGGAAGAUUGCACAAUGGGCGCAAGCCUGAUGCAGCGACGCCGCGUGGGGGAUGACGGCCUUCGGGUUGUAAACUCCUUUCGCAACCGACGAAGCUUUUUGUGACGGUAGGUUGAGAAGAAGCACCGGCUAACUACGUG